GGUUGAUCCUGCCAGUAGUCAUAUGCUUGUCUCAAAGAUUAAGCCAUGCAUGUCUAAGUAUAAACCACUUUGUACGGUGAAACUGCGAAUGGCUCAUUAUAUCAGUUAUGGUUUAUUUGAUGAUACCUUGCCACUUGGAUAACCGUGGUAAUUCUAGAGCUAAUACAUGCACGAAAUCCCGACUUCGUAGGAAGGGAUGUAUUUAUUAGGUAAAAACCAACCUGGGGCAACCCAGUCGCUGGUGAAUCAUGAUAACUUUGCGAACCGCAUCUGCCCUUGCGGCGGCGGUGGA
rnacentral:rRNA from 1 species